rnacentral:lncRNA from 1 species
GCUCAAACGUGCAGCACAGUUGUACUUCUUAUACAGGUGUGCACACCUCCUGUCCACCAAGCGGCUACCUUGUAGUUUUAUCUUCCAGCAGUACGCAGUGUUAAAAAGGAGAUAUUAAAAGCUGCCUGAAGGCAAAACACAGUGUCUCAUCAUCUGGCUUUAGCUUAAGGGACUCGACUGAACUGUUUUGAAAGCAGAAAAAAAUGAAUUUAAGAGAAGCGGCAAUCUUGAUUUCCAUCAUGUGCUCCUUUGAGGCUUUGGCCGAGCUGCCGCAAGGUAUCAACCGCUACAUGUAUUGUGAAAGUUGCCUGGCUACAGUGCAGGAGCUGAAGAAUUUGAUGAGGACUCCUUCUACAGACCAAACCGACAAACGGAAACUGACUGAUUCUGUGUGUGAAGCUGAUAUAUUUAAAGGCGUCAAUUUACCCACAGACAAAAUGAUAGAAGCCUGCAAGCACCUGUUAGAUGCCCACGGUAAGGACUUUAACGAGGCGCUGCUGACCAGGAGAGCGGACGAACUUGACAUUCUCUUCUGCUACGAGCAGUCUCUGGCCUGCAUGGGAGUGAAGCGAGCGCAGACUCAGGACAAUAAGAAGCGUGAAUUCAGGGACAAGCAUGUUGAAACUUUGCUGCAGCGCCACAAAGACAAAGUGCGUUUGGUGAAUCCAGUCCACAUCAACCCCAGUUCACCAGCUAAAGAGGAGCUGUAGGAAUGAGAUGAACUUCAGCAAGAAGACUGAACAUUACUGAAUACAGCUUUAUAAUAUUAUGUAAUAAAGAUUUCAAUAAUAGCAAACUACUUUCAAACAUUGUUCUAUAAAGAACUUUUGGUCUAUAAAGAACACAUUUUUUUCUUAGUUAUUGUGGGCUCAAUGUGUUUAUUUAAAAGUAACAGGUCUCUUAAAAUGUGUAACCUUCUGCUUCACCCUGUGGUGCUAAAGCAGUGUCCGUCCAUAGACAUGAUUCAGACAAGCUGAUCUCAUUCACGGCUCCUCUUAUGUGCUGUGUCCCUGACAAUAAAAUAAUUUC